rnacentral:lncRNA from 1 species
AAGGGAGGGACCGAAUCAGAGUUUAGCCAAUAGAAUAAUAUAGGUGUCCUCCCUCUCCAAAAUAAUGGGUCACGUUUACCACCACUGACAGCGCAAGGGCCAUCCCUGGCUAGACAGUCUACUGUGGGACUUUCCUUAUCACGGAAACAUCAAGGAAAAGAAAGGUCAUUGAUAGUGUGAGCACUUACAGAAACUACAAGCUCAUCCGUGAUUUCUACAAGUCCGUCAACUCCCUCUGCAGACCUGAAGGAAUGGGGAAAGUGGGAUGGAGUGAUUCAGAAAGAAGGGGGGGCUGAGGAGCAACAGACCCUCACCUCGCACCGAACAGCCAAUCACGGCGCUGAAUUCAGCUCUGUCUGACGUCGACCAUUACACUGCCCCGCCUCUCCCAUAGAAAAUGACAAGGGGAUCUUUGUUGACGUCAUCUUGCCAACGCCUGAUUGGCCAAACCGGAGAUGUCUCCCAGCCAAUUGCCGAACGCAGUGGUGAUGUCAUCACGCAUGUUGCCACCAGCUGGACCAAGGGGGUGUGGUCUGUCGUAAACUCUGCUCACCAGUGUUUACUGCAAGUACGGUAGUACGAGAGAGAGCCAGGCUGCAUGGAACAGUGGCGUGCCGAACCUCUGUAGUAGUAUGGCAGUCACACACAGUAGGACUACGACUACAACGGACUUCUAGCCUAUUCUCAAUAGCACACUGGCAGAUUUUCAGAAAAAAUAUAUAUAACAUUUUUGUUCUGGAUGUUUUUCUGCAGUACCUUUGAAAGAUACAUUUGGUUUGAGGUCUUUAUCUUUGAUUCUGAUUUAGUGACAGAGAUAUAGAGCAGUACUCUUCUCUUUUUUUCCAGGCUGUGCAAGCCAACAAAGACAGUUACAUAGUAAACAUUACAUCAUCCUUAUUUCUCUUGUAGUAGACAGACAAACAGACUCACGCAGAGACAGACAGCUUGGGCAGAAGCCUCUCACAGCGUCCUCACUGUCGGUGUCCCCUGUUAGUGUUCCCUCACAUGCCAUAUGGAAACGAUUAAAGAAAGAUGAAAAUAGUAGAAUCUCUGUUUAUACAAAAUAAUACAUCUUGAUUAAAAAAGACAACACAAAAAUCUGAAAGACACCAGCAGGUAAAGAGGCAG